CUCCACUAUAGUCAAGACCAAAGAGCCUUCAUAGGACACCAGAGACAAAAUUGUAGACCUGCACCAGGCUGGGAAGACUGAAACUGCAAUAGGUCUAAAAGUAGUAAAACCUACAGUAUGAAAUGGAGUGGACCAGUGGAGGCGAGCAUUGAGGACAGGACAUGACCAAGGGUUAAUAGAGAAAAGAAGAGAUUAAAAAAAACAAACUAAGGCUCCGUGAAAAGAGGGUCUUUGGAUUCUUGGAGUGAGGCGUACUGAAACCAAUGGAAGAAGAUGGAUGGAAAGGGAAGAAGACGGAAAGAGGUGAUGGGAAGCGAUGCAGUCCCUGACUUCUAUUGAAGACUAAGACCGGCCCUGGCAAGGAGGGAUAAGAGGGAAAUAAUUAUCCGGCCUACUGAAGCAUGACAGGCUCUUCUCGGGUCUGGAGAGACAGACUGAGCAUUAUGUCAAAGAUUGGCCAUGUCACAAGCAGAGAUACCUCUUGACAGACAGCGGCAGCUCAAGUUUUACUUGAUAGUAGGGAAGCUAAUGCAACUGGUGACUGCUACUUGUCUUGAGCAAGGCCAGUCAGAGAAUGGUUUCAAUA